rnacentral:rRNA from 1 species
AAUCCACACGACUCYCGGCAACGGAUAUCUCGGCUCUCGCAUCGAUGAAGAACGUAGCGAAAUGCGAUACCUGGUGUGAAUUGCAGAAUCCCGCGAACCAUCGAGUCUUUGAACGCAAGUUGCGCCCGAGGUCUUUCGGCUGAGGGCACGCCUGCCUGGGCGUCACGC